UGAGCCUUGAUUCACUUGAAGUGUACGUUUUUAAAAAAUUAGGGUCUAGAAGGGAUGCAGAUUUUUUCAGAAUGUACUUUUUGAAGCAAGUUAGGAGCAUUAAUGUAGCAGGUUAGGGAGAAUUAACAUUGCAGGUUAGGGAGAAUUAACGUAGCAGGUUGGGAGAAUUAACGUAGCAGGUUAGGGAGAAUUAACGUAGCAGGUUAGGGAGAAUUAACGUAGCAGGUUAGGGAGAAUUAACAUUGCAGGUUAGGGAGAAUUAACGUAGCAGGUUGGGAGAAUUAACGUAGCAGGUUAGGGAGAAUUAACGUAGCAGGUUAGGAGAAUUAACGUAGCAGGUUAGGGAGAAUUAACGUAGCAGGUUAGGAGAAUUAACGUAGCAGGUUAGGGAGAAUUAACGUAGCAGGUUAGGGAGAAUUAACGUAGCAGGUUAGGAGAAUUAACGUAGCAGGUUAGGAGAAUUAACGUAGCAGGUUAGGGAGAAUUAACGUAGCAGGUUAGGAGAAUUAACGUAGCAGGUUAGGAGAAUUAACGUAGCAGGUUAGGGAGAAUUAACGUAGCAGGUUAGGGAGAAUUAACGUAGCAGGUUAGGGAGAAUUAACGUAGCAGGUUAGGAGAAUUAACGUAGCAGGUUAGGAGAAUUAACGUAGCAGGUUAGGAGAAUUAACGUAGCAGGUUAGGGAGAAUUAACGUAGCAGGUUAGGAGAAUUAACGUAGCAGGUUAGGGAGAAUUAACGUAGCAGGUUAGGGAGAAUUAACGUAGCAGGUUAGGGAGAAUUAACGUAGCAGGUUAGGAGAAUUAACGUAGCAGGUUAGGGAGAAUUAACGUAGCAGGUUAGGGAGAAUUAACGUAGCAGGUUAGGGAGAAUUAACGUAGCAGGUUAGGGAGAAUUAACGUAGCAGGUUAGGAGAAUUAACGUAGCAGGUUAGGGAGAAUUAACGUAGCAGGUUAGGGAGAAUUAACGUAGCAGGUUAGGAGAAUUAACGUAGCAGGUUAGGGAGAAUUAACGUAGCAGGUUAGGGAGAAUUAACGUAGCAGGUUAGGGAGAAUUAACGUAGCAGGUUAGGGAGAAUUAACGUAGCAGGUUAGGGAGAAUUAACGUAGCAGGUUAGGGAGAAUUAACGUAGCAGGUUAGGGAGAAUUAACGUAGCAGGUUAGGGAGAAUUAACGUAGCAGGUUAGGGAGAAUUAACGUAGCAGGUUAGGAGAAUUAACGUAGCAGGUUAGGGAGAAUUAACGUAGCAGGUUAGGAGAAUUAACGUAGCAGGUUAGGAGAAUUGGGUUAAGGUUGGGAAAAGGGUUAGAAUUUGUCAACUUUUGACGUCAAUCUGACAAAAGCUGUAUCCCAUCUAGACAUGACCAUUGAGCAGCGCCUCUGUUUUCUAGGUAGUGG